GGUGAGGUGGCCGAGCGGUCUAAGGCGCCAGACUAAGGUUUAGGUGGCGAUCACGAUUGUAUCUGGUCCGAAAGGGCAUGGGUUCGAAUCCCAUCCUCAUCA